CUACUUACCUGGUAGGGGUGAUUCCAUGAUCACGAAGGUGGUUUCCCCAGGGCGAGGCUUAUUCAUUGCACUACCGAUGGGCUGACUCCUGUGAUUUCUCCAAAUGCGGGAAACUUUAUAAUUUGUAGUAGUGGGAGACUGCGUUCGCGCUUUCCCCUG